rnacentral:rRNA from 1 species
GAUGAACGCUGGCGGCGUGCCUAAUACAUGCAAGUCGAGCGAACGGACGAGAAGCUUGCUUUUCUGAUGUUAGCGGCGGACGGGUGAGUAACACGUGGAUAACCUACCUAUAAGACUGGGAUAACUUCGGGAAACCGGAGCUAAUACCGGAUAAUAUUUUGCACCGCAUGGUUCAAAAGUGAAAGACGGUCUUGCUGUCACUUAUAGAUGGAUCCGCGCUGCAUUAGCUAGUUGGUAAGGUAACGGCUUACCAAGGCAACGAUGCAUAGCCGACCUGAGAGGGUGAUCGGCCACACGGGAACUGAGACACGGUCCAGACUCCUACGGGAGGCAGCAGUAGGGAAUCUUCCGCAAUGGGCGAAAGCCUGACGGAGCAACGCCGCGUGAGUGAUGAAGGUCUUCGGAUCGUAAAACUCUGUUAUGAGGGAAGAACAUAUGUGUAAGUAACUGUGCACAUCUUGACGGUACCUAAUCAGAAAGCCACGGCUAACUACGUG